GAAAUGGCUCUUUUCAGAGCCCCCCAAAAAUUAUUUUUUAAAGAGU
rfam:Lutzomyia longipalpis Contig11726, whole genome shotgun sequence.